rnacentral:lncRNA from 1 species
AUUGAGAGGAGUGACUAUCCCUCCAAAAGCUGCUGAUUAGCACUCUGGCUUGAAAGGCUCCAUGCUAAUAUGUAGUUUGCUACAAAGAUGCCAGGGUUUGGUAUGGUCACUAAAUUAUUUUCCCUUCUCUGAUAAUUGGCUGGUUGAUACUAAUGAAGAGAUGCAACUAUUUUCAUUAUAUUAUUAUUGAAUACCCUUGAAACCACCCACCCCAAGAACUUGGACUUAUCAGUAACUCAUAUCUAUCUAUGACAUCCUCUCUUCUUCCAUCCUCUGCCACCUGACCCAGCAGCCACUAUUCAAAACUUCAUUUUCUUGUUCAGCUUCUCUGUCUUUUGCCGACUGCUAUGGUCUGAAUGUUUGUGUCCCUCCAAAAUUCAUAUGUUGAAAUCUAAUCCCCAACCUGAUAGUGUUAAGAGGUGUGGGGCCUUUCAGGCCUCUGAUUAAAUCAGAGGGAGGAGCCCUUGUGAAUGGGGUUCAUGCCCUUAUAAAAGAAGCUGCAGGGAUUUUGUUUGCUCCUUCUGCCAUUUGAGUACACAGCUAGAAAUGGCAUCUAUGAAGCAGACAGUAGGCCCUUACCAGAUGCCAAAUUUGUUGGCGCCUUGAUCUUGGAUGUUCCAGCCUCCAGAGCUAUGAGCAGUAAAUUUCUGUUGUUCACAAAUUGCGCAGUCUAAAGUGUUUCGUUUUACUAGGCUGAACAGACUGAGGCACUGGCCCAGGGUUUAGCAUUCAGAAGUGUUGCCCCAGGCAUCAGCCUCUGGCUGCCAGCCUCUACAGCCCAGCUCACUUUGUGGGGAUGGGUGGGGUAGGAAUGUCCUUAGGGACUUGUGAGAUAAGCAGUGUCUUCAGAGCAUGUUUUAGCCAGGAUCUUUUUAAAGACAUUCUUUAAUCCUAUACGGCCAAUUGUCUCCUUUUAACCACUAUUUUCUAAUGCUAUCUUUACCGUGCAGAAUGCAAGUCACAGAUAAUGUAACCCAACAACAAACACAAUUCUCCCCCAAAAAAUCAAUGCAAUUUCCUAACUGUAAUGUAAAAGGAAAAAAAAAGGAAAGUCAUGCGGAGUCAAACAGGCAUUUCAUCAUGUAAAUGCGUGGGCCCACCUGUCCUAAGACAAAAUGAAAUAGCCAGAUCUUUGUACCUGUUGGCAAAAUCACCUAUAAAUGCAACAUCUCCAAAUACAGGAUUUAUUUGGUGACUCAUAUUACAGGAGUGGCUCUAUCAUCAAUAAUAUAACUUUUUUUAUGGUUAAUAACUUGUAAAGUUCAGAACAGAAAGUAUGUUCUUAGCUCAUUAUACAUGGUAGUUGUAUUCUGGGACAAUUUUAAAUGUGUUAAAACUAUGCAAAAAUUAGGUUAUCCCCAUAGGUUUUCCUGACCAGUGGGGUCUUAGUGUGCACAGAAGGUCAGAAACCCCUGGGUGCUCAUUUACAAUGCAGAUUUUAGUCCCAUCCUUGAGAUUCAGCAAGUGUGAGGUAGGGCUUUGGAAUCUGCAUUUUUAAUGAGCACCCCAGGUUAUCCCAGUGCAGUUAGUGGGUCCAAGGAUAAGUGGUUUUUCACUUAAGCUAAGGAUCAGUCACAGGAUGACUAAUCAGAUUUUUGGUGAGGCUUGGUAAGGAACAUUUCUAGUGCCAUUGAUUUUUACAUUAAAUGUUUUUUUUCCCCAAAAGCUCAGGUGAUGGGACAUUCUGAAAUCCUAGCACUCCCUAGGGUUUUCUAGGGCAUGAGGGUGUGCGGAGGCUGAAUGGAAGAGAGGACGGGGCUGAUCGGGUCUCCAUACACAACUCCUUGGUGCUUGUGACCUUGAGCAAGUCACUCCACCAGAGCCACGUUGUGACUCUUGGGGGCCCAAGACUGGGUUUAGUAGACCUCUUCCUCCAUUUAAAAUAAAAAAUUAUAUUUUCAUGACUGUGUCCAGGAUGAAUUGUAUUCAUUUUUUCCUUCUGACUUUAAAAGAAAGAAAAUUCUCAUGGGCCCCUAAAAGUUUGGUGGGCCUUUAGGCACUUGUUUAAGUUGGCCUCACACCUCUCUGGACAUUCAUUUCUUCACCUGAAAAAUGUGAUGGUAGCUACUUUGCAGGUAUGUUGUGGGGAUUUGAUCUGAUGGGAGUAAUUCCCUCUGAGUACUUACUACCUGGCACAAGCUAGGAGUUAUCAUACAUGGGCAAAGAGAAAGCAUUCCAUUUAACAGUGACCCUUUGUACAGGUACUUAUAAAAGGAUCAGAUCUGUCUAAUCACUGUGUAAUUUUUCUUAAUUAACCAUGCUGUUUACAUGGAGAUUCUUUUCCCUCCUAAUCUUCAUUCUUAUUCAUGCUAGCGCUCAUUUCAUGCAUCCUGGUGAUUCCCACCAUCUGUAGGGUUUGACAGCUCUCCCACCCUUUGGGAGGAUGGUGCAGUCACGUAUUCAUCUAUUAAAGGAGAAUGAAUGGAGAUGCACUGGGCCUUACUGCUGUUGGAUUUCUUAAUCUCAGUACGAGAAAUUCUAAUUUCUGCCUAAGUCCCUGUUCUGUACUGUGCCCCUUUCUUCCUUGGCUAAUGAAAUUAGCCAAGUCUCUCAAGUUGACUUGAGAGACUCAAAAGAAAACUUGGUAGUUAGCAAGUGGUGUGAUGUCCUGGGGUUAAGUGAGGGCGUUGGCUAGCCAGAACUAUGAUGGAGCAGAAACAAGAUGUCAUGGAAGGUAAGAGAGCUGGCCAGUUGGUAGAGGGGAGAAUUGGGCACAUAAAAAGAAAAAACAGAUGCUGGGAGAGGGAGUGAGAAUGAAGGGCAGUACCCCAGGAAGGAGAUUUUGGUCUCUUUCCUGUAGGAACCCAGGAAAUCACUAUUCCUUAAAACCAAGGAGAUUGACUAACACUGUACCUUUUUAAGAGGACUUGAUAUUGCUCUUCAAUUGUAAAACCAUUCAGUCAGCUUGUGAACAGGUAUCUCUCUGGGGAUACUAUGGGAAAAGCCCUGCCCUCAGUGAGCAUAUAGUUUGCUGGAGGGGAGUCACACUCCAUCGACAAACAAUUAAGACUGCUUCAGGUCUUCCAAAGUGUUCUGAAAAGACAAAGACAGGCAGGAAAAAAGGGUGGUGAGUGGUUGCUUUUGGUAGGCUAGGGUGAUAACUGAAAAGUUGCAGGUGAGGCUUCAGGGAAGGAAAGGAUGAUAAUACAUAGACCUGCAGGAAGAGUGUUUACAGCAGAAGGAGCAGCAAGUGCAACGGCCAUGGGUCAGGAACAAGCUUCGGCAUGUUCAGGAGAGGACAGAAGGCCAGAGUUGUGUGCAUGGCAUGUGAGUAAGAAAGAGAGUAGGAGAGAGGUCAAGGGGUAGGCAGUGGCCAGACCAUGUAGGUAAUGGUCCAGUUUGGAGUUUGCUUGUAGCCAGAAGCCCCUGAUAAUUUUAUACCUGUGAGUGACAUCCUCUGACAUUUACACUUCAGAAAGAUGGCUUUUAGCCCUGCGGAGGGUGGGGCUAGAGCAGGCAGGAAGACGAGCUAGGAGCCUAUUGCUAUAAUGUGGGUGGGAGGUGAGGGUAGCUUGGAAUGAGAUUGAAAUAGUGGAGAUAGUGAAAAUAGAUUUGGGGUACAUUUUGGAGGCAGAGCUGGUAGAUACUGAUGGAUUAAAUAUGAGGGGUGGGAAGGAGUGAAGAGAACGUACACAUGAGGGCUUAAGGGUCUUGCUGGAGCAGCCGGAGUGGGAGAUGCUGUUUGCUGAGCUGCUUUGUGCGUCUGUCAGAAAGCAGCGGCUCUCUUUCGGGCCUGCUAAGCUGGGGAUACAUACUAAACACUGAAGUGGAGCUCAUGAGUGGCACAUGGAUGUUUGGAUCUGGACCUUGUUCAGUUGAGGGGUCAAGGAUAGAUACAUGAAUUUGAGAGCCUCCACUUACAGUUGGCAUUUGCAGUCGUGGGACAGGGUACACUUGCUGAGGGAGAGAAUAUGGAUAGAGAAGAGAUUUGAGGACAGAGCCCAGGGGUGUCCCAACAAGGUGAGUUCUGGGAGAGAAGUCAGCUGGGGAAUUGCUUCAGUGUCCUGAAGGCAGAUCAAUGAGAAGGAGCAGUUCUAUAAAUAGAAAUCCCUGCAGAGAUGUUAGAAAACCAGCAUUACAGCAUGCCAAGAGAUAGAAUAGUGAUUAAUAACUGCUUAAAAGUGUAUGUUCUGCCACUGGAAUGCUAGGAAAGCUACCCAAAAAGGCUGUUCCUAAUUGAGGAAUAUGGUUCUUAAAUGUUUACAUUGCCUUAUAUUUGUGAUAGGGAUUAUUGGCUUUGUGAGCAAAGCUCUUUGACAUUUGUGGAUGGAGUGUACUCAUUAUUGAGAGGAAUUUUCUGAAAUGAAUGUCAGUUCCUUUUUUCCCCUAAGCUUUGCUUUGAAUUACUAUACAGUUUACUUAAGAAACCUGUGAUCAGCGAGAGGAAAGAGAAGUGAUUUCUGAAGCUUCUAAUGGCCACUUCCUGCUGAGUCUUAGCAUUCUAUCCUGUCAAGUAUGCUAAUGGGAGAAGGAGCAACAUCUCUGGAUACAAAGGAUCGCCAGGAUGCUGAUGUGAAUAGUAGGGGUGAGCUAGCUCUGUCCUCAUGCCCAGACCUUGUCCUGAUCUGUAGCACACAUUUGAGAGACAGGAGCUGUAUUAAUUGCCUAUUGCUGCUGUAACAAAUUAUUACACUUAGUGGCUUAAAAGAACAUGUUUAUUUUAUGGUUCUGGAGGUAAGAAAUCUGAAACGGCUCUGUAGUAGGCUAACACCCUCCAGGUGUUAGGCUGUAACUCCUGAAACGUGGAUGUAGCCUUAUGUGGAAUAAGGGUCUUUGCAGAUGUGAUUAAGCACCUUGAGAUAGGGCAAUUAUCGUGGAUUGUCAAGAUGGGCCCUAAAUGCCACCUCAAAUGUUCUCCUCACAGAGAUGCAGAGGAGGAUUACUCAGAAGAGAAGGCAGUGUGACCACAGAAGUAGGAAUUAGCAUGCUGUGGCCACAAGCCAAAAAAUACAUGCAGCCACCAGAAGCUGGAAGAGGCAAGGAACCGACUGUCCCUAGAGCCUCUGGAGGGAGCACGGCCCUGUCCUGCCUACCCCUUCGCUUCUACCCAGUGAUACCAAUUUCAGACAUCUGGAGUCUGGAACUGUGAGAGAAGAGUUUUCUGUUGUUUUAAGCCACUAAGUAUAGGUAAUUAUUAAUGACAAUUUGUUAUAGCAGCAAUAGGGAACCAAUACAGAGUCUCACUGGGCUAAUCCAGUGUCAGCAGGACUGUGUUCCUUUCAGGAGGCUCUUAGAAUCUGUUUUCUUGACUCUUCCAGCUUCUAGAGUCUGUCCACAUUCCUUCACUCAUGGCUUCUUAUGUCUUCAAGCCAGUCUUUGACACUUUUUAGAUAGUGAUUCUUCUGCUUCCCUCUUCCGCAUUUAAGGACGCUGUGAUUGCAUUAGACCCACCUUGAUAAUUAUCUUAAGGUCAGCUGAUUAGCUACCUUAACUCCAUCUGCAUCCUUAAUUGCCCUUUGCCAUGUAAGGUGUAACAUACUCAGAUUCUGGGGCUAUGACAGAGACAUCUUUAGGAGCUGUUAUUUUGCCUUAAAAAGGAGGCAAUUAUUUAAGUAUAUAAGGUGAAUAGUUAGGUCUUUCUCUCCAGGAAACCUAACUUGUCAUUCAGCGGUUACCAUGCAUGGGUAUCUUCUUCCAAUUGCCUGAGCCAGCCAGACUUUCAUGUUUGAGCAUUCAGAUUGGGCUUUAUUUCUCAAGGCAUGUGGCAAACCUCACAAUGACACUGAAAGGUUAAAAAAAAAAAAAAGAAAAAUACAGUUGCUUACCAGAGAUACUGAUCGUUUACUUCUGCUAGGAUCAGAAGAGAUUUUAAGAGCUUAGUGGCAAAUCCUGACCUUGGAAAGCCCUGCCUUACCAGGGGUCUUGUGCAGAGGUGUUAUUGAGAUCAGACACCAGGUUGCAGUGAUAUGUAUCAUUUGUGCUCUUGCCAUCUACCGCCCCCUGCCUGCCACCAAGCCAACCUCAGGAGGUCUUUGCCCAGAGGCUUGGCAAGAUGACUUUCCACAACUCAGGGAGGUUUUAAGGAGAGGGAUUAGCAUUGACUCUGAUACCUUGUUGGUUUGUGUGUCAUAACUUAAAGGUCCAUGCUUCUCAGCUGGCCAGUGGUCACACCUGAUUGGAAGGUGAAAAGACUUUGCGUUCUACUUCCAAAAGUUUUCACAUUUGUCACACUGUCCUAACCCUAUCAGCUUUGUUGCUAUCAUUGUAGUGAGGCCUGCCUAGGGAUGAUAAGUGAAGGAUCCCCAAGGACACAUUAAGACAGCACAUAGAAUCAGAGUUUUCAGACUCUUGGCCGAACUUUUUUUUUUUUUAAGCAGACCAGUAUUUUCCAAACUUUGGACUUAGUUUCCACCAUAUUCACGUUACCACCUAUACUUGUUACUUAACAUAUUUUCUUCAGUUUAUCCUGCAUCAACUCAUUUAUUUUAAUUUGGUCUCAUUCUAAUUGACAGCAUAUAGCAGCUUAUGAAUUUGAUGUGCGUAUGCAUGUUGCAACAAAUACUUAACUAUUAGUAUGUAUGCUACGGUGUAAAUGUACCACACUCAGAAAAAACCUUAUUAGACCAUCCUGACUGUUUAGGAAGCUUGGUGCCCAAGGGAAAUAGUCUUUGACCAUCAGCCAGAAUUUGGUUAGUUUCAGCAGAUAAGAGAGUAGCUGGUAAGCUACUUAGGAACAUUUUAAGUAGAAUAUGUGAGAAAUGAGGAUAGGAUAUGCCUUUAUUCCCAGCAGGCAAAAACAUGCAUUUAUUUACUAUAGUUGUUAUAAUAUAAAUAACAUAGAUGCAUAUGUAUACCAGAAACAUGGUCUUUAUCCCAUUUGUGGAUAAAAGCUAAGGAAGAACUUGUAUUACUUAUGUAUGAAAUGCCCAAGGGAACAGAGCCUAGACAAGUUCUGAAACUUAAUAUCUAGGGAAUGUAAACAUUUAAUAAAACAUUACCUUACCCACCUAUGUGGCCUUUCUUGGCUGGACUUCUAAAAAAUUUUGUUUUUAUACCAUAUUCUUUGUUUUAGGAAAGCAUUAUCUUACUCCCAGCCUCUGGGGAAAAUAAAUAACCGAGAGAAUCAAUAAGGAGAUGCCCCAGUGUUGUGGUCAGUGUCUGUUUUUCCCCAGUGUUCUGGGAGCAGGGUUUCCUGGUGUUCUGUUACAUCAGCAUGAAGGAGGCCUUGUGCAUGGGAAGACCCAGACCUCACUUCCCCUGUGUCACUUGCAGUCACUUGUCUUCCUCUUUUGUUUUUGUGUAUUUACCGGGGAUGAGGAGGUGGAUGGGCAGAGGGAUUGUAUAUAGAACUGGCU